rnacentral:lncRNA from 10 species
AGGAAACAGAAACCACACAGUAAUUUAAAUAGGAAAAGUUUAACAUAGAGAUUUAUUAACUAUAAAAUCAGAUUAGGGUCAUGGGGGAUGGGCUACUACUGGAUAAACAGAACUCUAAGAAAUAUAGGAAUGGCAGGUGUAAGGAGCAGUUACCACACCUAAGGCUUAUGGAGAGAGCCUGAGGUAGAGCCUCCGCCCCAUCCACCUCAGUCUCGGGGCUGAAUUCCAGACCUUGUUGGAGAAGGCAUGGCCAUGGCUCACUGGAUGGCAGGGAAGCUGCUGUGGUGCUGUACAAGAAGAACCUGCUGGAAACCUGCCCUUGAGAGUGCCAGGGAAAGCUGUUCACAGAGCGUUGUCUCUAUGACACAAGGCACUAGACUAUGAGAUUGCCCUGUGGGGAGACAAGGCAAAGCUCCUGGCCACUGGGUACUGCUGACCAUGUACCCUGAGGGGAUUGGGGCUGGGAAAGUCACCAUUACUGCAGGUGCUGGACACUGCUGAAGCCCUUGGGGCCACCAGAAACCUGGUGCUAAAGAAGCCCUGCCAGGUGCACAAGACAAGUGAGCUCCCAGAACCGUAAAGCCAAGGAUAUGGGAGGGAAAAAAAGGGGAAAGAGUCAUGGAAAGCCAGCUUCUUGCUGAAACUCCACUAGGUGCCCUGCUGGAAUCUCCCUUGAAAGAGCCUCUAUCCUGAAGAGCGUUGGACCCUGGAGCUGCUGGCCACAUCUUGAUCUGCCAUAUGUGGUCCAAGAAUGAAGUCAACACGAAGGAGAAUGAAGGUGCUGAGGGAUAAAGUUAUUGACAUUCUAGGAGCUCCUGGAUCAAACCAUGCCUGAACUCAAUUUAUCCCUUGAACUUUUCAAUUACAUGAAUAAAUCCUCCUUUUGCCUGAGUCAAUGUGGAUUAGUAUCAUUGGCAUUCAGAAGAUUCCUAAAGUCUCAGGUCUUCUGCACAUCUAUAACCAUGGCAAUUGCGGUCCUGCUCUCCUUUCCCCUCCCCUGAGCAGGCAAGCUUUCCUUCUCUAUCAUGUAAACCUCCUGGGUCAUUCAGAGUAUUUCUCAAAUGUUACCUGGAGUUUCCCAAGACUUCAGUUCUCACUGACCAUUUACUUCUUAAACUGCUAGGAUGAUAACCUAUAACUUUGCAUCUAACCAAUCCCUUAGCACUUUCCUUAGAGACUUCUUAGAGAUCUUUUUGAUGCCUAAGGGUAGGAAUCAGGGCUUCUCUAUCUUGUAUAUGCACUGCCCCCCACCCACAGGUCCAUAGAAUAACAGCUGAGGACCUGUAGCUCUACAAGGGCAGGGACUGUCAAACAUGCCAGACUGCACAUGGUAGUUACCACUAGAGGGCUCUGGGUAUGGGCAAUAAGCAGGACUUCUGCAUUUUACAUCUAUGCUAUCAUUCGAGUCUUGUAUGAGCAUUUAUUUUACAAAUCUCUAUCUUGCAAAGCAAACCCUUAGUGUGAAUAACUGAGGAGUGGUGGAUCGGCCAGCUCUUCCGUGCAGUGUUCUAAAGCCUCUUGCUCCUGUCUCUCCUGUGGGAAACCCAUAGUUACGGCUUCAAGCAGAGACCCAAGCACCACCUCAGGGUCUUGACCUUGUGUGGGAAUAAUCUAUCACCAAGAUGCAGACAGAGACAAACUGCUUCACAGAGCAUUUUAUCCCCUAGAAAAUCCCCAACCCCAGCAUCCUGGGUGCUGCCCAACCUCUUCAAAUACAAAGGCAAAUAAAAUAAAUAAAAGUAAAUAUUGUACUCAUAAGCAACAGAAUGCCUAGCAACCAAGAACAAGGGAGGGCUGGAGGAAGAAGGUUGACUUUCGCAGGCCCUUGUGUAUAAACUGCAGUAAAAGUCUUCUCUGUGUGAAUAAUAUAUUUUUGAGCGUUAAAUUAUAGAAGGUGUAAGGAAUGCUAAGGCUGAGACCCAACAGAGAGAGCUGGCCCCACCCUGAAUGGGAGGGGCAGGGGUCUCCUUGGUCUUUGUCCCUGCUGACUGGUAUUGAGGGAGGGGGAGUCUCCGCUGUAGCUUCAGGAAUGGAACACAGGGCACCAGGCCUCAGUUAAUCCCUUUAGGGACCCUUAGCCCUGAAACAAUGCUGGUGCAACCCCACAUGUAACUCAGAAGAAAAUGUUAAGUCACGAAAUAAAUGUAAGAGCUCUGAUGUUUUUCUAUAACACCCAUUUCAAUGCUUUGUUAGAAAGUAUGUACGUAAAGCACAUGACAUUGUUCUCAUUAAAUUUUUUUGUUACGAAAACUUUUAAACACACUCAGAAGAGUAGGAUUUUUGAACCUCUCAUCUGGGUACAAUAUUAUUAAAAUUCUGC